AAUACUCAAAAACCGGUACCCAGUUCGGAUGUAGGCUGCAACUCGCCUACAUGAAGUCGGAGUUGCUAGUAAUCGCGGAUCAGAAUGCCGCGGUGAAUGCGUUCCCGGGUCUUGUACACACCGCCCGUCACACCAUGGAAGUUGGGGGCGCCCGAAGUUGCCUAAGAAAUAAGGUACCUAAGGCGAAACCAAUGACUGGGGUGAAGUCGUAACAAGGUAAC
rnacentral:rRNA from 1 species